AAAUUGAAGAGUUUGAUCAUGGCUCAGAUUGAACGCUGGCGGCAGGCCUAACACAUGCAAGUCGAACGGUAGCACAGAGAGCUUGCUCUCGGGUGACGAGUGGCGGACGGGUGAGUAAUGUCUGGGAAACUGCCUGAUGGAGGGGGAUAACUACUGGAAACGGUGGCUAAUACCGCAUAACGUCGCAAGACCAAAGAGGGGGACCUUCGGGCCUCUUGCCAUCAGAUGUGCCCAGAUGGGAUUAGCUUGUUGGUGAGGUAACGGCUCACCAAGGCGACGAUCCCUAGCUGGUCUGAGAGGAUGACCAGCCACACUGGAACUGAGACACGGUCCAGACUCCUACGGGAGGCAGCAGUGGGGAAUAUUGCACAAUGGGCGCAAGCCUGAUGCAGCCAUGCCGCGUGUAUGAAGAAGGCCUUCGGGUUGUAAAGUACUUUCAGCGGGGAGGAAGGUGUUGUGGUUAAUAACCGCAGCAAUUGACGUUACCCGCAGAAGAAGCACCGGCUAACUCCGUGCCAGCAGCCGCGGUAAUACGGAGGGUGCAAGCGUUAAUCGGAAUUACUGGGCGUAAAGCGCACGCAGGCGGUCUGUCAAGUCGGAUGUGAAAUCCCCGGGCUCAACCUGGGAACUGCAUUCGAAACUGGCAGGCUUGAGUCUUGUAGAGGGGGGUAGAAUUCCAGGUGUAGCGGUGAAAUGCGUAGAGAUCUGGAGGAAUACCGGUGGCGAAGGCGGCCCCCUGGACAAAGACUGACGCUCAGGUGCGAAAGCGUGGGGAGCAAACAGGAUUAGAUACCCUGGUAGUCCACGCCGUAAACGAUGUCUACUUGGAGGUUGUGCCCUUGAGGCGUGGCUUCCGGAGCUAACGCGUUAAGUAGACCGCCUGGGGAGUACGGCCGCAAGGUUAAAACUCAAAUGAAUUGACGGGGGCCCGCACAAGCGGUGGAGCAUGUGGUUUAAUUCGAUGCAACGCGAAGAACCUUACCUGGUCUUGACAUCCACGGAAGUUUUCAGAGAUGAGAAUGUGCCUUCGGGAACCGUGAGACAGGUGCUGCAUGGCUGUCGUCAGCUCGUGUUGUGAAAUGUUGGGUUAAGUCCCGCAACGAGCGCAACCCUUAUCCUUUGUUGCCAGCGGUUAGGCCGGGAACUCAAAGGAGACUGCCAGUGAUAAACUGGAGGAAGGUGGGGAUGACGUCAAGUCAUCAUGGCCCUUACGACCAGGGCUACACACGUGCUACAAUGGCGCAUACAAAGAGAAGCGACCUCGCGAGAGCAAGCGGACCUCAUAAAGUGCGUCGUAGUCCGGAUUGGAGUCUGCAACUCGACUCCAUGAAGUCGGAAUCGCUAGUAAUCGUGGAUCAGAAUGCCACGGUGAAUACGUUCCCGGGCCUUGUACACACCGCCCGUCACACCAUGGGAGUGGGUUGCAAAAGAAGUAGGUAGCUUAACCUUCGGGAGGGCGCUUACCACUUUGUGAUUCAUGACUGGGGUGAAGUCGUAACAAGGUAACCGUAGGGGAACCUGCGGUUGGAUCACCUCCUUACCUGAAAGAAGC
rnacentral:rRNA from 1 species